rnacentral:rRNA from 1 species
GAACGCUGGUCUCAGGCUUAAGAGUACAAGUCGAGCGGGUGUAGCAAUACAUCAGCGGCAGACGGGUUACCCACGCGUGGGAACGUAAAUUUUGGUUCGGAACAACCCAGGGAAACUUGGGCUAAUACCGGAUAAGCCCUUACGGGGAAAGAUUUAUCGCCGAAAGAUCGGCCCGCGUCUGAUUAGCUAGUUGGUGAGGUAAUGGCUCACCAAGGCGACGAUCAGUAGCUGGUCUGAGAGGAUGAUCAGCCACAUUGGGACUGAGACACGGCCCAAACUCCUACGGGAGGCAGCAGUGGG